rnacentral:rRNA from 1 species
UUUAAAGCUUCGCUUGUAGAUGAGUCUGCGUCUUAUUAGCUAGUUGGUGGGGUAAAUGCCUACCAAGGCGAUGAUAAGUAACCGGCCUGAGAGGGUGAACGGUCACACUGGAACUGAGAUACGGUCCAGACUCCUACGGGAGGCAGCAGCUAAGAAUCUUCCGCAAUGGGCGAAAGCCUGACGGAGCGACACUGCGUGAAUGAAGAAGGUCGAAAGAUUGUAAAAUUCUUUUAUAAAUGAGGAAUAAACUUUGUAGGAAAUGACAAAGUGAUGACGUUAAUUUAUGAAUAAGCCCCGGCUAAUUACGUGCCAGCAGCCGCGGUAAUACGUAAGGGGCGAGCGUUGUUCGGGAUUAUUGGGCGUAAAGGGUGAGUAGGCGGAUAUAUAA